UGGACAUGGUACUACCGGAGGAUCCAGC
rnacentral:piRNA from 1 species